rnacentral:rRNA from 1 species
AUUCCAGCUCCAAUAGCGUAUAUUAAAGUUGUUGCGGUAAAAAAGCUCGUAGUUGGAUUUCUGUUGCGAAUGGCCGGUCUUCGCUACGUGAAUGUAUCUGGUUCAAUCGUGGCAUCCUCAUAGGAAACGUUGCUGCGCUUCACUGCGUGGUGCGGUGCCUAUGACUUUUACUUUGAGGAAAUUAGAGUGUUCACGGCAGGCAAUCGCCCUGAAUAUGUUAGCAUGGAAUAAUAAUAUAGGAUCUUGGUUCUAUUUUGUUGGUUUCUAGAGCUAAGAUAAUGGUUAAUAGGAACAAUUGGGGGCAUUUGUAUUAACAUGUCAGAGGUGGAAUUCUUGGAUUAUGUUACGACAAACUACUGCGAAAGCAUUUGCCAAGGAUGUUUUCAUCA